rnacentral:lncRNA from 1 species
AAGGAUUGAGUAUUGCAUUUGAAACUGCUCUUUACUGCAAACAAGUUCUUUAGCUUGUUCUUUUUGUUUAACUUAUAUUUAUAUGUAUUUUUUUAGAUUGAAGAAAAAGAGUCUCAAUUGGUUCUAUAUUGAUGAGUAAUUCAAUUGUAAAUUAAUUAAUUCUCAUUAAUUUUUUUUUUGCUUUUGAUUUGUAUUAGCCAAUUAAUAUUAUUAGUUAUUGUAUAAUUUAAUAUUUAUAAGUUGAUUUUGAUUUGUAUUAGCCAAUUAAUAUUAUUAGUUAUUGUAUAAUUUAAUAUUUAUAAGUUGUAUAGUAUUUAAUAUUCAGCAGGUGGGUACAAUUAAAAAUAAUUGACAUAAAUUGUGUU